rnacentral:lncRNA from 1 species
AGAGAGGCAAAGCGGCCUGCCCGGAUCACACAGCAAGGAAGGAAAGUGCUGGGGCAUGCAUCGGCGAUUCGCAAGCGUCUGCCCUUGCCCAAAGCGCCCCAGCCUCGGCAGUGAGUAGCCUUUCUCCCAGGGCAGCGCAUGCCACAGCUUCGUCUGAAUUGAAUUUUUAAACUACACCCUUGAGACACAAUGAGAGGAGAGACGCGGAGGCAAUCGCAGUCAGAUGGCGAAAACCGAGAGGCACUUCCAGAAGUCGUCAGG